rnacentral:rRNA from 1 species
UACGGGGGGGGCAAGCGUUGUUCGGAAUUACUGGGCGUAAAGGGCUUGUAGGUGGCCGCCUAAGUCCGACGUGAAAUCCCUCGGCUCAACCGGGGAACUGCGUCGGAUACUGGGUGGCUUGAAUCCGGGAGAGGGACGUGGAAUUCCAGGUGUAGCGGUGAAAUGCGUAGAUAUCUGGAGGAACACCGGUGGCGAAGGCGGCGUCCUGGACCGGUAUUGACACUGAAAAGCGAAAGCCAGGGGAGCAAACGGG